rnacentral:rRNA from 1 species
CGAACGCUGGCGGCGUGCUUAGCACAUGCAAGUCGAACGGAAAGGCCUGCUUUCCCUUGUGGAUUGCGGGUACUCGAGUGGCGAACGGGUGAGUAACACGUGAGUGAUCUGCCCCCAACUUGGGUAUAAGCCUGGGAAACUGGGUCUAAUUCCCGAUAGGACUGCAGGGUGGUGCCUGUGGUGGAAAACGAUUUUCUAGUGGUUGGGGAUGAGCUCGCGGCCUAUCAGCUUGUUGGUGGGGUAAUGGCCUACCAAGGCGGCGACGGGUAGCCGGCCUGAGAGGGUGGACGGCCACAUUGGGACUGAGAUACGGCCCAGACUCCUACGGGAGGCAGCAGUGGGGAAUAUUGCACAAUGGGCGGAAGCCUGAUGCAGCGACGCCGCGUGGGGGAUGGCGGCCUUCGGGUUGUAAACUCCUUUCGACCGCGAGGAAGCCACCUGGUUGGAAGGGUGGUGACGGUAGUGGUAGAAGAAGCACCGGCUAACUACGUG